UACGUAGGGGGCAAGCGUUGUCCGGAUUCAUUGGGCGUAAAGAGCGUGUAGGCGGCUGGGUAGGUCCGUUGUGAAAACUCGAGGCUCAACCUCGAGACGCCGAUGGAAACCCUCCAGCUAGAGUCCGGAAGAGGAGAGUGGAAUUCCUGGUGUAGCGGUGAAAUGCGCAGAUAUCAGGAGGAACACCAAUUGCGAAGGCAGCUCGCUGGGACGUUACUGACGCUGAGACGCGAAAGCGUGGGAGGCAAACAGG
rnacentral:rRNA from 1 species